AGUUAGGAGAGCAAAAUCCUGAAGCGCAGCAAGCCAGAGCCUACUUAAUGUGCCAAGAUCUGCGUGGACUAAGUCAAGCAGCCCGUCUGAUGAAAUCGACCCGUCUCCAACACUAUCUUCUGCACAGUGACAUCAGGUGGCGUCUCUGAGGUGAAGGCUGGUCUAAGUGCCGCUCCUACCUGGCAAGAAAUUACAGGCUCAUUCAAGCAUCAAAAACAUAUCUUCCCGUUUUUAGCUAAGUGCAUCCGAGUUUUCCUUUGGGGAACCUUCUCUCUCCACAACUCUCAGCCCAUGUUGUUGCUAUGGAGUUGUGAGCACUCUCUGGCUCCAGGGACCCACACUGGGAUAAUGAAAGCUCUCCUGAGGACAUCUGCUAGGAGUACUAGGAAAGAAGCGCUCUCUUUAAAAGACUCUGGAUGCUAAGAGAGCCACCUUGAUACCACUUGGAGAGGGCAAACUUGAGAAUAAAGCCAGUGCAGAAGAAAGCAGAGCCAACUAAGUUCCUGAAAACAAUUUUCCUUUUCUGCUUAAAUGUGAUGGAGCCUGCUGACCAACUGGUGAACUGCUCUGGAUUCCCUAACUGCCAGCCAUCAGAAGCUGCCUUUGAAUCAUGAGAGAUCUUUCGGAGACACUGGAAAGACACACUUCCACAACAGCAGAACUCGAGCAAGGUGAU